GUGUUGUAUGAAAGGAGAGAAAGUUAGCACUCCCCUGGCAAGGAUGGAAGCAGCCCUUGGGCCCAUAUAGCUGACGCUUUGCCACCUAUGUUGUGGCACCUAACCACAGUUUGGG
rnacentral:ncRNA from 1 species